rnacentral:lncRNA from 1 species
AACUAAUGCUCUGAUACCAACUGUGACAUCCCCAAUUUCACGGCCAUAAAAGACCGACUUGUUUAUGCUUUGUUUUAUAAAUCAGAGUAAUCAUUUAAAGAAAACGGUUGUAGAAUUUGUUCCCAAAACAAGAUAUGAUAAUAACUUAUCAAAACAUUUCUCAAAGAGAAUGUAUUUUCAUUUAAUAAUAAACCUCAGGAUGUCAUGUUCCGAUACAGACACAUAAGCAUAAACAUAUCAUACAUUCAUUUACACUAGUGAUUUACAUCUCUUUUAAUCUCUCAGUGAAAUGGGUCUUCGUAUCGAUACCUGUGAUACAAAGAAAACUGAGUGGGUCAGGCUUGGGAGCCUGGUGAGCAUAUAGGGUUUUCAACCCACAAUAAUAGAUUUAUUAUAUUCAAUCAUCAAACAAUCAACCCAAACACCCAUCCCCAUAUCUCCUUUAUUUCUUAAGGGUUUACCCUAAGAAUCAACUCUCCUUCAUCCAUUCAUUCCUAAGGAUUUAUCUAAGGGAUUGACAUGAAGUCCAUUGCUGCCAAAGUUUAUCUAUAAGGUACUAAAUCCAUAGUUAUCAGGUGCUAACUCCAUAGUCACCGAUGUUUACUCAACAGGCACGAAGUCACAUAGUCACCAAGGUUUAUCAAAUAGGCACGAAGUUGCAUCGUCACCAAGGUUUACUUAAUAGGCGCUAACUCAAUAGUCACCAAGGUUUACUUAAUAGUAGGCGCUAACUCCAUAGUCACCAAGGUUUACUUAACAGUAGGCGCUAACUCCAUAGUCACCAAGGUUUAUACAAUAGGCGCUAACUCCAUAGUCACCAAGGUUUACUUAACAGUAGGCGCUAACUCCAUAGUCACCAAUGUUUAUAUAAUAGGCACUAACUCCAUAGUCACCAAGGCUUACUUAGCAGUAGGCGCUAACUCCAUAGUCACCAAGGUUUAUUUAUACCAUCUUCCAUCACACACCAACUAUCCCAUUUACCCAUGUUCUACCCAACAUUUUCAUAGAUAUAACUACUUACACAGUUUAAAUCAUUUAACACCUAUAAAAAACAUCAAUUUCCACGCCCAUCUCAAAUAGACAAACAAUAUAUAACACCUAGCACGUAUCUCAUAGAGAAUAAAUCAUAUCUAUGAGUUAGAAGAAAGUGAAUAUGCAUUCUCACAUAUAAACAACAAUAUGUACACAUAACACGUAUUUCAUAUCAAAUACUACAUAAUUAUGUGAUAGAAGAAAGUGACUAUACACUCACUUGAUCAGAAGAUGAUCGGACAACACUACGGCUUGUAGAAGUAGUAUUUCUUCGGUGAAACCAGGAUAUCUUCACACACCAGACUUCUCGCGGGCAGAGCUUCGGCUUGGAAACUCUUUUCUUCUCGGGAUCUUCGGGCUUCUGGACUUGCUUCAGGUCUCAGGGUUGAUACUGGGGCUUUGGAGGGUUAAAAUAUGGCUUAGAGAGUGUAUCGGGAGUGGGAGAGAAGAGAUGGAGCAACCAUAAUCGACUGGCCCUUGAUUUCUAUUUAUUGGGCAAAUUUCUCAUUUUCCACAUCGUGAACAGUACGUUCACGUUGUGGGCUUGAUCGUCACUGCAUGCGUCAUCGCAAGUUGGAUAUGGCAGACUCCAGGAGGCGUCAGAAGACAUGCCACGUCGUGACCACUGAUUUCAUGUCGUGGUCUCUGACAGUCUUGGGGUUUCGCGCCCCGAACUUCAGAAAUUCAUAACUUUUGCAUACAAACUCCGUUUUCGACGUUCUUUAUAUCCAUGCGUAGGUGAGACUAAGCUCUACAACUUUUGUUUAGACUCUGUCGGCUAAUUUCGAAUUUAUUUUUAUUAUUUAUUUUUAGUAAGUCGGGACAGGAAAACUCCGUUAUAAAUUCAUAACUUCUUCAUCCGACAUCCGUUUUCGUCUGUCUUUUUACCGUUGGACUACUAUCGAUGAGAUCUUAAAUUCUUAUUUAGAUCGUUUCGGCUAAAAACCACUCGAUCUCAUAUUCGAACUUUGGGCGACAUACCGUUAAGUCGAAACUUCGAAAAAUCAUAACUUCCUCAUACGAAGUCAGAUUUGGACGUUCUUUUUAUGCACACUUUCGGUUUAAUGUAUUCUACGACUUUCAUUUAGAUCGCUAAGGCCAAAUAUCACUCUAAUGUAAAUUCACUAUUUCCGUCGCGCUGUGUCAUGUCGGUUCUGUCGUGAAACUUCGAUAAGUCAUUACUUCUUCGUUAUAACUCGGAUUUCGACGUUCUUUAUAUGUACGGGAUCCUUGUAACAUAUAUUACAACUUAGUUAAGAUUACUCCUUCUAAAUUUUCUUCCAUCAAAAAGUCAUUUUUGACGCUUAUGGUCUCUAAAUUGACUAGCCCGUAUCUACGGGUGUUACAGAAAGCCCAAAGUCCACCAGACUGACAAUCCUCUACAAUAGCAAACCAAUCACACAAGCCGGGUAGCAAUAUAUUAUGACAACAAAAUCGUUCAUACGUAUCAUAAUGCAACAUCCUAGGAAAAACGAAAAAAAACAAUAUUAUUAUAUUAAAGGGUACUACCCUGGUAACUUGUGGACAUUCAUACCGUACAGAGUAAUAAGUGAGAAUAUAGACCAUCCCAACAGUAUAUAAGGACCUCAAGGCAAAUCAGUAAAGGGGAGACUUUUCUCACUCUAAGAAAUUUUCCUACAUUCACACCAUGCAUCUAACUUAGGCAUCGAAGAGCAAUAUCCGGAUCCAUCAAUCACUAUUUUUUUCUAACCUAGUGUGUGUCUAUUUUGCAACGUGCCCUACAGAUUGUGCAUUCGAAAAGGACUUCCUCAAUCAGCUAUCAGGCAUAUGGAAGGCUAUGUACCAACAUUGGCGCCAUCCGUCAUGCAAGAAAAACAACAAGCUUCAUGUCCCCCGUCAGAUUCAACUUUUAGUCCCAUUAACCUGAUUCCAACAUUCACUCUGAUUACAACAACAACACCAAGUGUUGCAUCAAUAAUGAUAACCCCAUCCCAACCAGCACUACCAGAUUCGUCUUAGCCAAAUGUACAAGUUGAAGGGGGACAAAAGGAAAAUCAUCAGCCAAAGGAAAUAAAACCAGACAAGCAACAUUUGUCAUGAUAGAGAGAACCACCAGCUCUAGUAAGGGAAGACCAAAUGUCUAUAAGACCAUCAAAACCGACUCCCAGAAGCAACAAAUUGAUGACACAAGUUCUACCAUCUCUAUUACAAUAACACUUAGCAACAACAACAACAACCCCGAAACAACAUAAUAUAAAACCGUAUAUACCUCUACCACCUCCAUUUCCAUACACACAUUACCAGGCGUUCUGGCCACCACAAUCUCAACAACCGUAUGUUCCACAAACCACCCUAGGAAAUCAGAAGGUGCCAAAAACCCAAUGGAUACCGCAGAUGACGAACAAUAGUGUGCCUAUAGAAACAAACAGGAACAUCAAUAAUGAUCAUGUCAUGAUGACAACUCUCCACUUAUCAGGAGUAUAUAAAAAAUAUCAACUACUGGUAUGAACAAACAUACCAUAAAUCUCGAAGUAUGAUGGGUCCGGUGACCCAGAUGACCACAUUGAAAAUUACAAACGGACGAUGGAUGCUUAUUAUUUAGACGAGAAAUACUGGUGUAUCUUUUUUCCUAACUACCUUAUCAGAACCAACACAACUAUGGUACAAAAGUUUACCAUUUGAAAGAAUACAUGAUUUUAACCAACUACAGAAGGAGUUUGUCGGUCACUUCAUAUAGAAAAAGAGGUAUACAGUUGAUGCUAAAGCAAUCUUGGGACGCAUACAAUGUGAGGAUGAGUCAUUACACGCUUUUGUCUAUCGGUUCAACAAGGCAACCUUUAAUGCCCGGGAGAGAGAGCAGACAACAUGGCGAUCGCUGCUUUCACUUAUGGAUUAAUUCCAUGAGUUCUCUUCAAAAAACUAGUUGAUAAACCACCUAAAUCAAGCAAAGACACGAUGGAAAGAGUCCACUGAUAUAUAAAGUAAGAAGAAGCAGCGUCUGAGAAACUAACGACCGAUCAGGGAGAAAGGUUCUACGUUCAAAAAGACAGUCAUACACCUUACUUGAAGGUUUCCGUUCCAGAAAAACAGAAAUCUAACAAUACGAGAUCACAAUGACCGACUCGUUUCCCACACCAGGGUCGCAAUUAUCUGAUAACAAGAAGCGGAGGAAGAAAUGAUGUGGUGACAGUAGUGGGAAACAAAAAGAAUAAUAUAUCAAGAGUAGGAAAUAGGUCAGAGUGUAGAGAACAUGACAAGUAUUGUGAAUACCACAAAUCCACUAGGCAUGAUACCAUCGAGUGUACUAUCUUGGAAAGAGAAUUAGAGAAGAAAAUGCAGGUCGGGCAGCUAAACGAUUUAAUAAGAGGACUCUUGUCCAAGAAGCUAGAAAGCAUUGCCCCAACGGAGCCCAAAAUAAAUAGUUCAGGAAAGAAUGACAUAUUCAUGUUUAGACAACAAGAGCGGCCAGAAGCAGAUCAAGAAUGGGACGGUUAUAGAUUUACUUUUGAUGAAUGGGAUUACAUCAACAAUAACCAAAAAGGAGAUGAGCAUGUCAUAAUUGGAGGGUUUAUAGGAAAAAAAUACGUGAUUGACAUUUAGAUGGACAAUGGAAGCUCCAUAAAUGACAUGUACAAACACUUCUACAACUAGCUCCCGAGUCAAGUGUAAAAGAAAAUACAGCUACCUGAGAUGCAUCUAAUUAGCUUUGCCAGACACAACAUAUGUUCAGAAGGAAUGAUCACUUUUCCACUCACAUUAGUAGAUUAUAAUAAUGGCGGAAACGAAACUAAACUUGAUCAGAUUUAUGAAUAUCAAUGCACCAUCACCAUACAACAUAAUAUUCGAAAGAACGACAAUGCACAAAUUUAGAGUCAUAGCAUCAACAAUUAUUAGGGUAUUCAAGUUUCAUGCCAUAUCAGGAGUGGGUGUAAUACUAACAAAGAAAAGAGAAAGGAAAAUGAAGCAGGACCAUGGGAAGAACGAUACAGUUGGAAAAAUCAAUAACACUACAUGAGAACAAAAAAAAUGUGACAUCAACAACUACAUCUGAAAAAUAAGAACACGAGAAAGGAAAAGGAAAAAAUAUAAAGCUAGUAAUGGUAAGCUUGGAUACAAGUAGCCAUUUGUAAAAAGCGGUUAAGGCACUAACAUGAAGCGACAUCAUGACAAAUCAAAGAGCAGUAUGGCUUGAUUACUUUAAAAGAGUUCAUGUGAACAAUAACAAUAACAACGAACAAUGGGCAUGAAAGCAGGGAAAGGACAUAAGAGAAGCAUAACAGAGUAACAAAAAUCUGGAUCAAAGAAGGGACCCAACCACUUAUUAAAAAAAAGCAUCACAAUCAAAGGGGUAUUAGUUGUAGCAAAAGGUAAAUGAGGAUUUAGAACCAAAAGAGAAAGAUACCAAUGAAAACAAAAAAAAGAGUCAAAAUUUUGAGGGCCAUUUACACACAGAAAAACCAAAUAGGAAACCACCAAGAAUACUAGCGGCAAAAAUGAAGAAGUGAACACAUCAAGGCCAACUGACUUCAUUUCAUGGGGAAGUAGAAAAGGCAUACAUAAACAAAUGAAAUAACAAAAUAAGAUAACCUCUACGAAGAUCUAAAGGAAAAAUAAAUUCAUAACAACAACACCAAAGGUUGGCCAUAAGAAACUUGGUAAGGCAAUAUGAAAAAGUAGAAACAUUACCUAAAGUCUCACACACAUGUGUGAUAGGAAGUAGUCAUUUUAUCGAUCAAUGAAAUGGCAUUUUAACGAAAAAAAUUAAAACAAAAGCAAUUAUUCCUUAAGUGUAGCUCGAAGCCAACUACACAAACAUUGUAGUCAAAGAAAUAUCUUGACCAAGGCUACCCGUUUAGCCAAAAACUCAAUUAUUCUUUAAUUGUAGCUCGAUCAGCCGAAUACACAAACAUUUUGGUGAAAUCAACAUCUUGACCAAGGCUACUAUCUACCCAAAUAAGCUAUUAUCCCUUAAGUUUAGCUCGAUCAGCCGACUACAUAAAUAUUGUGGUCAAAGCAACAUCUUGAUCAAGGCUGUUUAGCCAAAAAACAGGUUAUUCUUCAAUUGUAACUCGGGCAACCAACUACAUAAACAUUUUGGUCAAAGAAAAAUCUUGACCAAGUACUGUAAUACCCGUAUAUUUAGGAAGAGUUCAUUCGGGAAGCACUUGGGAGCUCCAAGCUUUAUAGAUCUGAGAGUUCGGCAGUUGGCAUUUUGUUUUAAGAUCUUAUUAUAUAAGCUUGGACAUUACCAGAGCUACGUUGAUCGUAUCAUAAAGUAUGCUUAGCAUAGAAUGGAAAUCCCCCAUUUUUUAUUUGGAGAUCUAUGUCAAGUGUAGAGCAGUGUCAGUGUAGCGCCACAUAAUUGACUUUUUUAUUAGUUUUUACUUUUGGUCAACUGUUUUGGGUUAUACUCUUGGACCGUAGGUAUGUGCUACAAUGAGUGUUAGUUAUUACCUUAAUUGUUGAUUAGGGUUUUAUUAUGUAUAUGUUUAGUGUGAGGAGUUUCGGUAUCAUCAUCUCGAGUGUGUGAUUAUCUUGUUUGUAGAUUUAGGUGAGUCUUCUCACUAUACUAUGUAGGAUGCUAGUAGACUUUGUGAUACUUGCAUAUAAGACCAUAGAGGUAGCCCAUGACAUUUGUAUUAAAGACCAUGAGGGUAGACCAUGCCACUUGGAUAUAAAACCAUGGGGGUAGCCCAUGCAUUUUAGAAAAAGACCAUGGUGGUAGUGCAUGACACUUGGAUAUAAGACCAUGGGGUAGCCCGUGGCAUUUAAGAAAAUACGGGUAGCCCAUGACACUUGGAUGUAAGACCAUAGGGGUAGCCCAUGGCAUUUAAGGGGAAGACCAAGGGGGUAGCUCGUGGCUAAUGUAUGUAUGGUAUGUGGUAUUUUGGGGAACUCACUAAGGUUUCUGUUUACAGUUUUACGGUUUAAAUACUUUUAGGUACUUCCAGUUCUAAAGGAAAGGGUCCGUGUAACACCUGUCUCCUAGAAUGGAAGGGUGUAUGGAAUAAAAUGAGUCAAGGGCAUGGGUUUUUAGGAAAACCAUAUGUCGUGACGUGAAAUACCAAGUAUCAGAACACGUAUUUGAAAGGAUGUCACGACAUGACAAGAGUAUGGUCACGAUGUGACAAUAGCUGCAACCUAAGCUCAUGAUCUUUUUGGGUUUCCUUUGUAUUUAAACCUCUAACCCUUGAUUUAGGGUAUUAUUUCCAGUCUCCAUCACCCUCUAGAACAUUGAAGCAAACCCUAAUACCCUCUUCUCCAUUUGUGAGCUUACCCUUGGUUAUUUGGUGCAGUUGGAAGGAAGAAGAAGGACCUUGUGGUAUAGAGAACCUCUUGGCAAGCUUGGAGAUUUCAUAGCCAUUUAUAGACCAUUGUAAGUGCUCCGGAUCCAAGAUUUAUGUUUCAUGCUUCUAGAUAUAGGCUCCUUGUCGCUUUUUCUUCAUGUUGUGGAAGUUUGGAUAAAAGUAUUCCAUAAAAUUGGCAACUUUAUGGGUCCUUGAGGUCCUUUGAGUGUUAUAUAUGUUGGAUCAAUUUUUCAUCAUUUUGACCUAGAUGAACUUAAGACAUGCAUUGGACAUGCAUGUCUAUAAAGCAUCACUUUUUAGAAUGUUUUUGAAGUAAGAAGGCCCUUUAGAAAGUUGGAAUGGAUGGCUUAAAGGAUUAAGGGAUGAAUGUAUUAAGUUUCCUGAAAAUAUAGUAGUCACGACGUGACCAUAUAGAGGUCAUGACGUGACGAUGAGACUCGUCGACUAUUUUUGACGGAUUCUGUUUCAACAUGGUGGCUUGAUCAUCACAACAUGACAAUGGUUUUGAUCAUGACUAAAUUGUUCAGAAUUGCAGUUUCAAAUCAGGGCUGAGCUCAUUAGUCAUGACGUGACCAUGGGCUGGUCACGACGUGAGUAGCAGCUGAUGGUGAUGUCAACUAUUGGUUUCGACCUUGAUCAUUGAAUUUUUCCAUUGAUUGACAUUUGGUCAAAUUUCUAGUUUUAGAAGGUGGACUAAGGGUUCAAAUUUUUAGGUUUGUUAGUGUAACAUCCGGAAUUUCGGGUAUGAUGGUUCGUGUUUCAAUUUUAAGGAUUUAGGGAGGGACUCGACGAGCCGUAGGGAUGACUCGCCGAGUCACGUCGAGUUGAACAUGUAGAUUUAAUGAGCAGACUCGAUGAGUCCAGGUAUGGACUCACCGAGUAGGUGCUGGGCAGAGAAAACCCUAAGUUCCAGGGUUGGAGCCUAUUUAAAGGAACUUAUGACCUUGGGUGCACCUCAUAUAUCCUGUGAGAAAAUGUGACAUCCCCAAAAUCCCGGCCAGAAAAGAUCGUUUUUCAUUUAUGCUUUAAAAAUAUUUUCAGAGUAAAUCCUUUUGAUUUGAAGGAGUUGCGGAAUUUGUUCCCAAAAACAAAACAUGAUAAAACAAUGUUUACCAAAGCAUUUCAUUAUAUAAUCAAAACUCGGGGUGUCAUGUUCCGAUACAGACCAAUAAGCAUAAACAAUAACAUUACAAGUCAUUCAACAAAUAUAUACAUAUACAGACUUGUAAACAAAACAACUGAUGGUUCAUCCAUCUCAUUCCCUCGCGCCACUUCCUAUAAUACAAAUAAAACUGAGUGGGUCAGGCUUGGGAGCCUGGUGAGCAUAUAGGGUUUUCAACCCACAAUAAAUAAUCAUAUUUAAUUUUUCACCAACCAACAAUAACCCAAUUACCCAUUCCCGUUAUUCUCACUUUAUGUCCCUAAAACAACUAACACAAGGGACCUAGUCUAAGAAUAUUUCAUCGGGGCGACAACACAUGCUUCGGGGGUACCUCAGCAAUAUAAGUCAAAUAAGGCAACCAUGAGGGGGAUGGAGUACAGCGAAUGAACACCCAAGUUCAUUAACACCUACAGGUGGCGAACCUGCUAAUGUUUCCACAAGACUGUCUAGAAUAGUCCGUGGUCGUCAUCUAAACUCCGCUAGAUGACUAAAUCAAACAACAACGAGGCCUCUCAUCUGUUUAUUACACACCAACUAUCUACCCAUGUUCUACCCAACAUAUUAGUAGAUAAAAAUAUACAUUUUUAUACAUAGUUUAAAAACCUGUAUAGCAUGCUUUAAUCAACACAUAUUCCACAUAACAGAUGAGGCACACACACACAUAACACAUAUCUCAUAGAGAAUAAAUCAUAUCUAUGAGAUAGAAGAAAGUGAAUACACAUUCACACAUAUAAACAACAAUAUAC